rnacentral:rRNA from 1 species
UGGGGAAUUUUGGACAAUGGGCGAAAGCCUGAUCCAGCAAUGCCGCGUGUGUGAAGAAGGCCUUCGGGUUGUAAAGCACUUUUGUCCGGAAGGAAAUCCUUGGCUCUAAUACAGUCGGGGGAUGACGGUACCGGAAGAAUAAGCACCGGCUAACUACGUGCCAGCAGCCGCGGUAAUACGUAGGGUGCAAGCGUUAAUCGGAAUUACUGGGCGUAAAGCGUGCGCAGGCGGUUUGCUAAGACCGAUGUGAAAUCCCCGGGCUCAACCUGGGAACUGCAUUGGUGACUGGCAGGCUAGAGUAUGGCAGAGGGGGGUAGAAUUCCACGUGUAGCAGUGAAAUGCGUAGAGAUGUGGAGGAAUACCGAUGGCGAAGGCAGCCCCCUGGGCCAAUACUGACGCUCAUGCACGAAAGCGUGGGGAGCAAACAGGAUUAGAUACCCUGGUAGUCCACGCCCUAAAACGAUGUCAACUAGUUGUUGGGGGAUUCAUUUCCUUAGUAACGUAGCUAACGCGUGAAGUUGACCGCCUGGGGAGUACGGUCGCAAGAUUAAAACUCAAAGGAAUUGACGGGGUCAUAGCUGUUUCCU